rnacentral:ncRNA from 1 species
GUGAAAACGUAGAAGGAACAAGUAUGAAGCAGUCCACUUUUAGAGAGGGAUACCCAUGGCUGGAAGGUAUACUAAGUGAAGGGCUUCAGAAAGCUACUCCGGAGUGCAGAUAAUCUCUGCCGUGCGCCGCGUUAAGGCAGUUAAGUGAUAGACAAGUUUGUCUAUAAUUAGGGUGGUACCGCGUGAUGUUAACUCUCGUCCCUUUU